rnacentral:rRNA from 1 species
GUUCUAACGUUGGCCCCUGACCGGGGUUGCGGACAGUGUCUGGUGGGUAGUUUGACUGGGGCGGUCUCCUCCCAAAGCGUAACGGAGGAGCACGAAGGUUAGCUAAUCCUGGUCGGACAUCAGGAGGUUAGUGCAAUGGCAUAAGCUAGCUUGACUGCGAGCGUGACGGCGCGAGCAGGUGCGAAAGCAGGUCAUAGUGAUCCGGUGGUUCUGAAUGGAAGGGCCAUCGCUCAACGGAUAAAAGGUACUCCGGGGAUAACAGGCUGAUACCGCCCAAGAGUUCAUAUCGACGGCGGUGUUUGGCACCUCGAUGUCGGCUCAUCACAUCCUGGGGCUGAAGUAGGUCCCAAGGGUAUGGCUGUUCGCCAUUUAAAGUGGUACGCGAGCUGGGUUUAGAACGUCGUGAGACAGUUCGGUCCCUAUCUGCCGUGGGCGCUGGAGAAUUGAGGGGGGCUGCUCCUAGUACGAGAGGACCGGAGUGGACGCAUCACUGGUGUUCGGGUUGUCAUGCCAAUGGCACUGCCCGGUAGCUAAAUGCGGAAGAGAUAAGUGCUGAAAGCAUCUAAGCACGAAACUUGCCCCGAGAUGAGUUCUCCCUGAGACUUUAAGUCUCCUGAAGGAACGUUGAAGACGACGACGUUGAUAGGCCGGGUGUGUAAGCGCAGCGAUGCGUUGAGCUAACCGGUACUAAUGAACCGUGAGGCUUAACCUU